rnacentral:rRNA from 1 species
GACGAACCGAGCGAACGUUGUUCGGAAUCACUGGGCUUAAAGGGUGCGUAGGCGGGCUGCCAAGUUUGAGGUGAAAUCCUCCGGCUCAACCGGGGAAGUGCCUUGAAUACUGGCGGUCUGGAGGGAGGUAGGGGCGUGCGGAACUAACGGUGGAGCGGUGAAAUGCGUUGAUAUCGUUAGGAACGCCAAUGGUGAAAACAGGUCGCUGGGGAUGAGCUGACGCUGAGACACGAAAGCCAGGGGAGCAAACGGG